AAAAGCAACCCUACACCCACGGGCCAAUCCCGCAGCCGCCUCCCUCGCAAUCCCGCAGCCGCCUCCCCCGCUUCCUCUGCGCCUCGCGCCGCAACCGCCUCCCCCGCUUCCUUCGCGCCUCCGCCUCCUCUCCCAUCUCCUCCCUGCUGCUACUGGCCAUCGCACCCUCGCCAUCGACGAUUGAUGCGGCCGACGGCGAGCGCCGGUUAGCGACCGGGAGGCCGCCACCUCUCCUGACCUCCUCCCAGGUUCCCGAUCUGGAGCAGCGAGGCCAACCCCCCUCCCCUUCACACGCAGGUGCUCCCCCUCUUCCCUCAGUUCCUUCUCUUUCUUCCCUGACCCUGUCGAUGGCCAGACGGGUGACGGGGUGGAUCGGGUGGCGGUGAUGUCAGAGCUUGAGAUGGCAGAGCUCGGGCUGGAGCGCUCAUGGGGUGACGGAUUCAAGGGCUGGAGCUCUCACGGAAUGGAGGUGCUCAGACUAGAGGCAGCGGAGGACGCCCUAUGAGCGAGCUGGAGGUGGAGGCGAGAGGAUGGGAAGAGGCCUGGAGUGGCUCGGGGCAGUGAAGGGGAAUAGAGAUGAGGAGGCGCGGAGUGAAGAGCCGGGAAGGAGGAGGGUUCGGAAGAGAGAAGAGAAGAGUGUGUCGACCAUGCGCUUGUAUGGAACACCAUCAGCCGAUCCACACUCUGCUCUGCCAACCUUGCUUCAUUUGGCCUCUGCAGAUACCCACACACCUUCACCCCCUCUUGGUUCUUCGUUUGGCUGGAUUGUAGGUGGCCUUUUGCAAGAAGAGUUUCAGUGCUCAGCAUAUUGCAGUCAUUGCAGCAGCGAGUUCUAUGAAGCACAUCAAUCAAGGGUACAUAGUCAAUGACAAUCCCUCCCAUUUAAUUAGAUGGUUUGCCAGUUUCUUCAUGUAGAUAGUAUCAUAGUGAUGCGAUUCAGAUGUUUAUAAUUCUUUUCUAACAUUACAUGUUCUUGUAGUCAUUCAUUUUGAAACCACGGAGGCCAUCGCAUUAUGCAUUGGUUAGACUAGGUAAUUUCUGUUCUAUAACUUUUCUAUCAAUAUGCCAAGAUCGACUGUUCGCCUCACCUUUAUUCUACAAUGCCAAAAUGUCCAGAACAUAAGGGCAACAUAAAUUUCAAGCUUUUAGACCUUACUUAUGUUAUGAACUUAUGAUAUAUGUCUAAAUUCUAUAGAUGUUUUAUCCUUUGCUACAUCUGAGUAUACACUAAUUAGUUAAACCUUUUCUUCUCCGGAUCUGCAUUCCACCUGUACUAAUUGCGAGAUUAUAUAUGUGUUUGUGUUCAUUCUUAAUUUAAACUAGACCUAGCUGUAUAUACUACAAAAUUUGUUAAACUUGCGCUGGGCAGGUUUCCAUGAUGAGUUCGUAGCCUUUAUGAAGUUGUUGCUGAUUGUUUUCUGUAAUCAUCGCUCAUUUCUCGUCUCCAUAGCAGAAAAUUUGAUUCUUGCCUCUAACCUUGAUCCUGAUGAAACAAUUGCUUGGCACAAUAAAUAAAUGUUUGAGUGGCAUGAUGUGUUAGGUUUCCAUGAUUUACUGUCAUUUACAUGAGGAGGUGGCAGUUUUGGCUACCUCCACCCGCCUCAGUCUGUUUUUUAAAGUGGGAAGUGAUGAAUCGAACAAGGAGGAAGGACGACGUGUUUGUUCUUUCCGGCGUGUUUACUAGACUUUGUAUAUAUGAACUUCACCUCAUAUUUUCUUCCUGGCUUGAUAAGAACUGAACAAUACAAUUUGGUUUCUCGUGUCCAGUAUUCCAGAUUGAGUGAUGCUAGAGAUAUGCGACCCUUAGACCAGUUUACGAAAUGCUUUAGGUUUAUUUUUCUUUCAUGUACAUAGCUGGAAGUAGUCUGAUAGCCAUUUUAUAAGGAUAAACAAGGCUUACUGUACGUAAGGUUUGAGACUACCCCAUUUCAAAUAACUAAGGGAAUCACUAUUCCUCAAAUGCAAGAUAUUGGUUUAUUUUAUUUCGUAUGGCAUGUUUUUGUUUCAGUUCUUUGUUUUUUCAAUCCAUUUGCUUUCUUGCAGUCUUUGUGAUAACAGUGAUUUGAGAAGGAUCUGUCUCUGUAGCUGUAGAUGAUAACUACAUAAUUAUUUGUUCUUUCUAUGUGAAAUAUUUAACCUUCAGUACUUAUAAUGCACAAAUAUAAAAUUGUAUAUUGCUAUUAUGUUCUUCUAUCCUAGAAUUAUUUCCCUUAUCUGCCUAUCUUGAUCAUGAAAUUAAGUCAAUUUCUUCUAUUAUCUUCAUGUGUUUGGGGAUAGGAUUCUGAAAGCUUGCCUAAUAAUUUUAUCAUAUAAGUUGAAAUUCAGUAAAACAUUCCCACUUGACAGUUCUGUUGUUAUUCCCUUAAAUGUUGAUCCAAGUGUCAUAAAUGACACAAGAUGCGUAGCUUGUUUUUUACCUUACAAUUUUGCUAGAUACAUUCUGAGAAUAUUUUGUGAGGCAUCCUGAUUUGCAUAUCACAGGCUGCUAGAGUUGUUCAAGCAGUUGUGUGCGUUCUACUUUUGAUAAUUUUUCUAUCUAUAUUUUGUACUUCAUUUAGUUUGAAUAGAUACCAUAACCUAGGCUAGGUUCAGUAACUAUUUGUUUGCUUUUUUUACAUAGCGGCUGAAUCAAAAUCAUUCUCUUAUUUCCCUGGUGGCCUGGUGCUUACGGUUUAAUUGCUAUAGUUGCUGGAGCCAUUGGCCUUUUAUACAUAAUAGUGUAUACAUUUAUAAUGUCAAUCCUUGCUCAUGGUACAUCUUUCUUGGUUGUCUGGCGACAAGAGUUAGCAUAUCAACCAUGUGAGUAGGCCUUGCACUAACCUCGGUAUUGGCAACAGAUCCGACAAAUUUACUAAUUUGAUCUUAACAAUUAUACUAUGGGUUUGCCUUAGUUGACCAUCAACUGUGCAUCAUGCAAUUAAAAAAACUCUUGCCACUGUAGUUUUACUUCUAACUAAAGGGAUUCAAUUGACUGUGAGAGGAGAGCAGAGCAGCAAGAGGGGAACUCACUCCUCAACACGGCGACCUGCGCGGGCGUGAGCUUCGCCGUGAACCUGUUGAUGGCGUUCUUGUAGCUGUAGACCAGCGUCACUUUCGGCCUUCUCCUUACUUGGAAAAGAACCUAUCAUAGACUUCACCCAGCCUUCUUGUAGCUGUAGACCAUCAUGUCAUGUAAUUACUUGCAAAACAACUAUAUUGUUUUUUGGUAUUGUAAAGCGGAAAUGGUAGAACUCUACAACUUCUCUGUUAGUGUCGCUUGAUUAUUUACUUUCUCAUGUAUUGUGGAUAUAGUGCUGUCGGUAUAUUAAGUAUAUGCACGAAGAUAUGCAAAUUUUAAGUAUAUGCAUGUCGUACACACCUAGAGGGCUUUUCUGAACAGACUAGGCUUUUAGUAGAUUUGGGUUUCUAUUUGCAUUCAUUUUUGCCUCUCUUUUCUGCUGCAGCUCCGCUGGUUCUUUGUUCUUGCUGCGCUUUGGGUUGACUUGCCAUGGAACCGUUUGGCUGAGGUGUCUCCAUCACCAUUAUUUGCUAUGUUUUGGAUUUGCCAGCUCACUGACUGCUACAUUUUUCCUCUUGUUGGCCUCUUCUUUUUCUGUCGUCGUCCAUCGAUCCAACCUGCUGUUGUUCGCUUCGUCGGCUUGCAGUUGCUUCUAGAGCGUGCUGUGGAUUCGUUGUGCCUCCUUCCAAUAUAGGUUCUCUUUGAUUCCACUGCCUUUGCAUAUGCAUGUCUGAUAUUUUAAUCUAUAGAGUCCAAAGGAGAACAGAGGAGAAGUGUGAAAUAGAUAGAGUUUGUGCUGAGAAGUUCCUGACUAAUUCAUGCUGUACUAGUCAUGGCUACAUGUUUGUUAGUCAUUUGGCUGGGUCAGGCUUAUGUAGGGAAUAUUUUCUUAAUGAAAGAUAUGGUGAUAGGAAAUAGUAAGUGUAGUUUCGGCAUAUGUACCUGCAAAUUUCUCAAGGAUCAAUCGUAGUUGUUCUUGAACAAAGCAUUCAUGGAAUUUCAUUUUCAGUUUCAAGUAUUAAAGGAAAGGGUGGAUGUAAAGAAAUAGGAUUAUGCUUCUAUGGCAUGCAAUGUAAAGAAAUAGGUGAUAAUGUUGAAUUGCUUCCUUUCAUACUUGGAUCUCGCUAGAUUAUUUAUUUUCCAUUAGAUAAAGCAUUAGAUUAUGUGUUGAUAGUUAACUUUUGUCCAUAAACUAUUCAAUCUGAAAACCGAUUCAGGUUAGGCAUAUUCAGGUUAAGCAUAUUCCAGCACAUGAUGAAAACAGAUUAAGCAAUCUGAAUGUUAACAACGGCUAAUCUUGCUUCUCCAUGCCGUCGUCGUCGGUGAGUCUCCGAAGAUGUUGAGGAGGGCCUGGAGGACGAGGAGGAGCUGGUGGAUUAGUUGCUCGAGGACGAGAGUCCCCGCCCCAUGCCGUCGACAUGCUCCAGAUCGAGCGCUAACUUGUUGUCAUCCUCCAGAUCGAGCAGCGCCUCGUCGAAUAGGACCUCGGGGAAGAAGGGGUUUUUAGAGGAGAGGGGAAGCUACGCGGCGAACUGGAGCGGCGCGGCGUCGUAGAGGAUGGAGAGGAGGCGCGGGGGGUCUCAACGGCGCGGGGGAGCUCACCAGCGCCGUGCAGCGCAGACAGCGCAGCAUCGGGAAGCUGCGAGGAGGGGAGGGGAGCGGCGACAGGACGAGGACUGCGGGUUUGGUCGGACAAAAGUGAGGGCUUUUUUGAGAAAAAUGCUGCGGAUCCUUUUCCGGACAGAGAGAUACUAUAUUAGGCAGUGACCAGAGAUUACGAGGGUACUAUAUUAGGCAGUGACCAGAGAUUACGAGGGUACUAUAUUAGGCAGUGACCAGAGAUUACGAGUGAGUGGGACUGGAUUCGUACGUGGUGGGAAUGAAUUCUGGACGGCUGUACCCAAACCAAUUUUCUUUAUCUUCUACUCCCUCCGUCCCAUAAUAUAAGGAUGUUUUUUAUAUUAUGAGACGGAGGGAGUAUAUAAAUAAGUAAAAAGAAUCCAUUCUUUCUUCUGCUAAAAAUUCAUUAUUUUCUAUGAGGCGUGUCUCACUCACAUGUCUGGGUGCGGUUUUUUUAUCAUCAGGCCUUGUGACAGUCAUGAUCAUUUGAGGAAUUUUAAUUUUUUUUCAUAUAACUAUCUAUAAAAAUUGAAAAAGAAAUUAUUGAAUAUGUUUAAGUCCUAUAAUUAUGUAGAUCAUCUUGUGGUCCGUGGACAUUAAAUUUUAAGCAGUACUUCACAUGAGGUAUUUUGUCUCACACUUCUCCACAAGUAUUUUUCGUUGUGUAUCAUUACACUUACUCUAUGUUGUACCAUUAUUUUAAAACUAACUCUGGCUAUUACUUUACAGGAUUAUAUGGCAAAUUUAAAAACAAAAACUAGCUAUCAUUUUAGUGGACUCGAAAUUGAAUGUUGAUAAUAUAAAAAAUUGAGACUUGAAGGAAACAGCACUAAUUCCCAUGGAUUGUAUGAUUCUGCAUAGACCCAUAAGAAUGGAAACAACAUAUAUUGACUAAGAGUUGGUUAAGUCUCAGUCGACUGAGAUUUAGCAACCCUGAGCACUUGUAGGAAGAACAAAAGGCAAAUGUAAAUACCACAAACAAGCUGCUCGAAAAAGGAGAAGAGAUUAAACAGUACAAGAACAUCAAACAGAUGACUAGGGAAGCGGUCACACUACCAGACGUAGUGCGUGUUACAUCAAACAAAAUCCAUGAUUUCACUAGAGCUACCUUGGACCCUACCGCUUCAAUGACUAUAUGUAAUCUCAAAUAGACUCUUCUGGAAAUUAUUCAUGAUGUUGUGGUUGUGCUUCAAAGCUUGGCUAGCGUGGCAUGUCUCUCACUGCAUGAGAAAAGGCAUAUGAUCCAGACUCAGACUCAAGUUGUAUUGAGGGUUAUGCUAACAACAUGGGUGAUGGGUACAACAACUAUGUGCAAUCAUCGUAGCCAUGCCUGCUUGGACGAAGAAAUCAUGUUCGACAUUGUUGGGACAUGUGGUGAUGACUCUACCUAAUACCACCACCUUCUCGUGUCUUGGUCCUUCCUGCGAGCAAGACAAUACAUCUCUGCUAAUAUAGCUUUCUUUAUAAAGCCAAUGUAUGCCAUUAUCAAGUGAUCUGAAUAUUUUCUUUUAAUCUACCAAGACCAUGUAAUGGAAUGUAAGUAUCUAUUAAGUUAGUUCAAAAUCAAUCUCAUACGAAUGGUUUGAAUGCUCGGCUCGCUCUCGCUUUUUCACGGUAUAUACAUUUUCGAGAUGGAACAUAUUUCAGCAGAUUUCACUCUUCGUGCUCCGGGUGGAGAUUUUAAUGUACUAUGCACCUAAAUUUUGAUUUGACAUGCACCAGAUAUUUCGGUGGCCCCAAGCCCUCAACCCUCAGCAUCGUCUGGGUCCGCUGUGCAUGCUCAUCCGCGUUGUCGAGGGACGCCUCCUCCUGCCGCACCCCUGUCCAAUAUUUUGCUUAUGCAAAAAAUUCUUACCAUGGCGUCACCUAUUUGGACAAUUAGGCGAGCUCUGCAUUUUGGUUUUCUAUCCUUAAGAGGGAGCACAUUUUUCGUGAGUUAGUCAUGCUACCAUAGUAACAUAAACUCUUACUCCAUAAUUACAAUCCCUAGAUUGUGGUGAGAUGCAAUGCUAAGCAAAUGGAAGAUAACAGUUUGUACCGGCAAAAGGUCAAUAACAGUAUUUUGCCCCACUAAAAGAGAUGGAUAUUAGCAUCGUCCGUGAUGCAUUUUGUUUGCAUUUUCCUGUGAUAGAAACGAGUGCAUUUCAUUUACAUUUUGCCAUGCUGGAUUUUAGAUACGAUGUUGAUGCCUACAAUUCUUUUUACUGAAUUUAUGUGGCAGAUGAGAACUGAUACAUUACCGCCCUCAAUCCUUUUGUUUUUCUAUAUUUAGGAACAUGAUACUACAUUUGAUCUUUUCGCAAAAUAAAAACUGCUUGCAACAGAGAUGAUGCCUGUGAUUUUAGUCAGCUAAUGUUAAUGCUAUAUGGGAUUUUUUUUGUAUUGAAGGAACGGUGUACGUAAUGGACCAUAUAUUACUUAUCCAGUGAUGUAUGCUCAUUACUAAUCUGAUGUGUUGUUUUUCUUGUGAUGGACACUGCUGCAUUUGUUGUCCAUGUUGCCAUCGUGAGCUUCAGUCUGGUCCGCAGUGCUAUUGCUGGCUUUUUCCCCUGGAGUACCAAAAAAAUAGCAG